rnacentral:rRNA from 1 species
AUUGAACGCUGGCGGAAUGCUUUACACAUGCAAGUCGAACGGCAGCACGGGGGCAACCCUGGUGGCGAGUGGCGAACGGGUGAGUAAUACAUCGGAACGUGCCCAGUCGUGGGGGAUAACGUAGCGAAAGUUACGCUAAUACCGCAUACGAUCUACGGAUGAAAGCGGGGGACCGUAAGGCCUCGCGCGAUUGGAGCGGCCGAUGUCAGAUUAGGUAGUUGGUGAGGUAAAGGCUCACCAAGCCGACGAUCUGUAGCUGGUCUGAGAGGACGACCAGCCACACUGGGACUGGGACACGGCCCAGACUCCUACGGGAGGCAGCAGUGGGGAAUUUUGGACAAUGGGCGCAAGCCUGAUCCAGCCAUUCCGCGUGCAGGACGAAGGCCUUCGGGUUGUAAACUGCUUUUGUACGGAACGAAAAGGCUCUGGUUAAUACCUGGGGCUCAUGACGGUACCGUAAGAAUAAGCACCGGCUAACUACGUGCCAGCAGCCGCAGUAA